AGCAGCCGCGGUAAUUCCAGCUCCAAUAGCGUAUAUUAAAGUUGUUGCAGUUAAAAAGCUCGUAGUUGAAUUUCGGGGUCAGUAGGUUGGUCGUGCCACCGGUAUGCACUGGUCUCACUGAUUCCUCCUUCUUGUAGAACCGUAAUGCCAUUCAGUUGGUGUUGCGGGGAAACAGGACUGUUACUUUGAAAAAAUUAGAGUGUUUAAAGCAGGCUA
rnacentral:rRNA from 1 species